rnacentral:rRNA from 1 species
UACGUAGGGGGGCGAGCGUUGUCCGGAAUCAUUGGGCGUAAAGCGCGUGUAGGCGGCCCGGUAAGUCCGCUGUGAAAGUCCAGGGCUCAACCCCGGGAGGCGGGUGGAUACUGUCAAGCUCGAGUCCGGAAGAGGAGUGUGGAAUUCCUGGUGUAGCGGUGAAAUGCGCAGAUAUCAGGAGGAACACCAAUGGCGAAGGCAGCACUCUGGGACGUGACUGACGCUGAGACGCGAAGGCGUGGGGAGCGAACGGG